rnacentral:rRNA from 1 species
AGUGAACGCUGGCGGUAGGCCUAACACAUGCAAGUCGAACGGCAGCACAGUAAGAGCUUGCUCUUACGGGUGGCGAGUGGCGGACGGGUGAGGAAUACAUCGGAAUCUACUUUUUCGUGGGGGAUAACGUAGGGAAACUUACGCUAAUACCGCAUACGACCUACGGGUGAAAGCAGGGGAUCUUCGGACCUUGCGCGAUUGAAUGAGCCGAUGUCGGAUUAGCUAGUUGGCGGGGUAAGGGCCCACCAAGGCGACGAUCCGUAGCUGGUCUGAGAGGAUGCUCAGCCACACUGGAACUGAGACACGGUCCAGACUCCUACGGGAGGCAGCAGUGGGGAAUAUUGGACAAUGGGCGCAAGCCUGAUCCAGCCAUACCGCGUGGGUGAAGAAGGCCUUCGGGUUGUAAAGCCCUUUUGUUGGGAAAGAAAAGCAGCAGGUUAAUACCCCGCUGUUCUGACGGUACCCAAAGAAUAAGCACCGGCUAACUUCGUG